rnacentral:sRNA from 1 species
GCUGGGCAUGGUGGCACACACCUGUAAUCCCAGCAACAGGGGAGGCUGAGGCAGGAGGAUCAUGAGUUCAAAGCCAGCCUCAGCAACUUGGCAAGGUGCUAAGCAAUUCAGUGAGACCCUGUCUCUA